rnacentral:rRNA from 1 species
CCUACGGGAGGCAGCAGUAGGGAAUCUUCCGCAAUGGACGAAAGUCUGACGGAGCAAUGCCGCGUGAGUGAAGAAGGUUUUCGGAUCGUAAAACUCUGUUGUUAGAGAAGAACAAGGAUGAGAGUAACUGCUCAUCCCCUGACGGUAUCUAACCAGAAAGCCACGGCUAACUACGUGCCAGCAGCCGCGGUAAUACGUAGGUGGCAAGCGUUGUCCGGAUUUAUUGGGCGUAAAGCGAGCGCAGGCGGUUCUUUAAGUCUGAUGUGAAAGCCCCCAGCUCAACUGGGGAAGGUCAUUGGAAACUGGGGAACUUGAGUGCAGAAGAGGAGAGUGGAAUUCCACGUGUAGCGGUGAAAUGCGUAGAUAUGUGGAGGAACACCAGUGGCGAAGGCGACUCUCUGGUCUGUAACUGACGCUGAGGCUCGAAAGCGUGGGGAGCAAACAGGAUUAGAUACCCUGGUAGUCCACGCCGUAAACGAUGAGUGCUAAGUGUUGGGGGGUUUCCGCCCCUCAGUGCUGCAGCUAACGCAUUAAGCACUCCGCCUGGGGAGUACGGCCGCAAGGCUGAAACUUAAAGGAAUUGACGG